CGCCUCUUAGCGGGGGAUAACUAUUGGAAACGAUAGCUAAUACCGCAUAAAAGUACGAUAUCGCAUGAUGUUGACUUGAAAGGUGCAAUUGCAUCACUAAGAGAUGGACCUGCGUUGUAUUAGCUAGUUGGUGAGGUAACGGCUCACCAAGGCGACGAUACAUAGCCGACCUGAGAGGGUGAUCGGCCACACUGGGACUGAGACACGGCCCAG
rnacentral:rRNA from 1 species